UUAAGCCAUGCGAGUUAAAUGUUCUUCGUGAACAUAGCAGACUGCUUAGUAACACGUGGAUAACCUGCCCUUAGGACUGGCAUAACCCCGGGAAACUGGGGAUAAUUCCGGAUAGAUCAUAAAUGUUGGAAUGCUUUAUGAUUGAAAGGUUUCGACCGCCUUAGGAUGGAUCUGCGGCCUAUCAGGUUGUAGUGGGUGUAAUGUACCUACUAGCCUACGACGGGUACGGGUUGUGGAAGCAAGAGCCCGGAGAUGGAUUCUGAGACAUGAAUCCAGGCCCUACGGGGCGCAGCAGGCGCGAAAACUUUACAAUGCGGGAAACCGUGAUAAGGGAACACUGAGUGCUAGCAUUUAUGUUAGCUGUCCACAUGUGUAAAUAGCAUGUGAUAGCAAGGGCUGGGCAAGACCGGUGCCAGCCGCCGCGGUAACACCGGCAGCCCGAGUGGUGAUCACUAUUAUUGGGUCUAAAGGGUCCGUAGCCGGUUUAAUCAGUCUUCUGGGAAAUCUAAUCGCUUAACUAUUAGGCUUCCAGGGGAUACUGUUAGACUUGGGACCGGGAGAGGUAAGAGGUACUGCAGGGGUAGGAGUGAAAUCUUGUAAUCCCUGUGAGACCACCAGUGGCGAAGGCGUCUUACCAGAACGGGUCCGACGGUGAGGGACGAAAGCUGGGGGCACGAACCGGAUUAGAUACCCGGGUAGUCCCAGCUGUAAACGAUGCUCGUUAGGUGUCAGGAACGGUGCGACUGUUUCUGGUGCCGAAGGGAAAGCCGUGAAACGAGCCACCU
rnacentral:rRNA from 1 species